rnacentral:lncRNA from 1 species
AGCUCACUUGCAGUGUUAGUGCUUGUUGGGGAGGGACAAUUGAGGAGGAUCAUGAGUUUGAAGUCAGCUUGGGCUACAUAGCAAGACACUAUCUUGAAAAACAAGAGAGAUGCCUCUCCCAGGACAUCAACCACUGUCUUACCUUUCUAGCCUUUACCAAAACAUUUAUGCUACAUAAUACUAUGUAGGCUCUGUUUUGUUAUUUUGAACAUACAUGCUAUGUUCAAAAGUCUGAGGUACAAAUUUAUUAUGUUUUUAGCCCAAAUAAUAUCUUGACUAAUGUAGUUGUAGCUUACUAAUGUGCCUAGAAAUAGACAGUUCAAAAUGGACACCGUGUGCCCCACUUAUGUCAGAGCUCCUCAUAACACCAGGUUUGUAGCUGUUCAAGUCUAACCAACUCUAUGUGCUCUAUAAAGAGUCAUACGUGUGAAGAGGCCCCGCUGCCAAGUGCUUUUUUCCUGGCUUGGAAAGCACAGCUGUCUCUCUUACUUUCUUUGGAAAGCACAGCUGUCUCUCUUACUUUCUUUGGAAAGCACAGCUGUCUCUCUUACUUUCUUUGGAAAGCACAGCUGUCUCUCUUACUUUCUUUGGAAAGCACAGCUGUCUCUCUUACUUUCUUUGAAGGGAUUCGUUUGCUCAUAUUCUGCUGCCCCAGAAGAGAAGAAUGGAUUUAAACCAGCUCAAGAACACCUGGACUCUAAAGCUAGGAGAGCUC